GGUCGGUGAUGAGAAGUAAAAGGUCUGAUUACCCACAAUCCUCUCCUGCUGCCCUCUGGCUCCCAGCAGCCCCUGCUACCUGCUCCCAUCAUGCUCUAGUUGUGCAAUGGUGGUCCCAGCAGCUGCUGACAAACAGAGGGUGACAUCACACUGUGAGUCUGCACAGAGAACCUGCAGACUCAAUGAUGAUGUCACCCAACACAGCCAAUCAGCUCGGAGUGUCAGGCUAAAGGAGAGGAGGGGCCUGAUCUCAAGUUUUCAACCUGAGACC